UUCCUUUUAAUUAGGUGCACGCAGAUAAGUCAUAGUUAUGUAAUUGUUGUACUUUGUUUGACUCUGCAGUGCCGUUGCUGAUCUCAAAACGGGAUGGAACUGCAAGUCAUGGCCGUGUGUUGAGCCACUACAUUACACACAGACUGAUAGUUAUAACUGUGGUGUGAUUGUAUGUCUUUUUGCUCGGUGUUUGUGUGAGGGGUUAGAUGUCAAUGGAAGUUACAACGUGCAAAUGGAAAGAGAGAGAAUAACGUCUGUCAUAUUUGGCUCCUGUUACGAUGACCUUGAUGAGAGAAACACCGCAGUCUGUAAGAUUUGUAAAGACGACGAUGGAGAGGAUUGGCUUGGGUGUGAUAGCUGUGGCCAGUUUUUCCACGCAAGUUGUCUGAAUGUGCCUUUCGCAGAGACGCUUACACAACAUUUCACCUGCCGUUAGGGUGGCUUCUUUUCGGAUCAAGUGGACUUUAAUGUCAUGUCUAGACCUUAAUCUACCAGGAUUGCGAAUACAGUUCUUGGUAAUCGAUUAAAAUAUAUAUUCAGGAACGUCACGGAUCCAAAAUCGUAACGUGAUGGAGCCAACAAUAUGAAGAACAUCUCAGAGUUCAAGAUGUUUUAUUUUUGUUCGAUUCGACGUUUAGUUUUCAUCCUGAGUGCUUCUGUUAAAGUGAAUAGAAAGAAAAAGUUUGAACGGAAAACAUAAUUAUUUAUCAUAUGGUUGUUUUGAGAAAAGGUCUCCUAAAUCGAGCGACCUUUAUCGAAACAUUUGAGGGAUGGUAAACACA